rnacentral:tRNA from 2 species
AAGACUUUAAGUUAAGGUUAAACUAAUAACCUUCAAAGUUAUAAAUAUUCUAAGAUUUGAAUAAGUCUUA